CCUACGGGAGGCAGCAGUCGGGAAUUUUGGGCAAUGGGCGAAAGCCUGACCCAGCAACGCCGCGUGAAGGAUGAAGUAUUUCGGUAUGUAAACUUCGAAAGAAUAGGAAACGGUACUAUUUAUAAGGUCCGGCUAACUACGUGCCAGCAGCCGCGGUAAUACGUAGGGACCAAGCGUUGUUCGGAUUUACUGGGCGUAAAGGGCGCGUAGGCGGCGUGGUAAGUCACUUGUGAAAUCUCUGAGCUUAACUCAGAACGGCCAAGUGAUACUGCUGUGCUAGAGUGCAGAAGGGGCAAUCGGAAUUCUUGGUGUAGCGGUGAAAUGCGUAGAUAUCAAGAGGAACACCUGAGGUGAAGACGGGUUGCUGGGCUGAACUGACGCUGAGGCGCGAAAGCCAGGGGAGCAAACGGGAUUAGAUACCCUUGUAGUC
rnacentral:rRNA from 1 species